UUUUAAAUGAUUUGAGAUGGCCUCUCGCCCUAUUCAGUGUAACAGCUGUGGUAGUGGGUUUGGUCGCUCGCAUUUAAAUUGGAAGGGUAAUGGUGGACCGCACUUCUCCCUUAGUAGGACGUUGCGACCUGUCAAAUAAUAUCCUAAGUAUUUGGCUAAUUUGUCUGUUUUUAGGCAGUACUGAAAGGUAUUUCCUUUAACAGUUUUAGCCGUUUAUAUACUGGAUAUAAUUGACAGUAACGAAUCAUGGUGUUGAGCCACUUACUUUGUAAGUGUCCUUUAUGGCUGUUUGCAAGUGGGUUGGUUAAUUAGUUUUAGUCGGAUUUUGGUCCGUCUAACUAUUCCGCCUACUGUUGGUAAACUGUUCCUUGGACAGUGCUUAUAACACCGGUCGGCAGCGAUUCAGGUUCAGGCUCUUAUCCGACCCGUCUUGAAACACGGACCAAGGAGUUUAGCGUGUACGCAAGUCAUUGGGUGUAUAAAACCCAAAGGCGCA
rnacentral:rRNA from 1 species